GUGCCAGCAGCCGCGGUAAUACGUAGGGGGCAAGCGUUGUCCGGAAUCAUUGGGCGUAAAGGGCGCGUAGGCGGAUAGUUAAGUCUGAUGUGAAAUACCAGGGCUCAACCCUGGGGCUGCAUCGGAAACUGGUUAUCUUGAGGACAGGAGAGGAAAGUGGAAUUCCACGUGUAGCGGUGAAAUGCGUAGAUAUGUGGAGGAACACCAGUGGCGAAGGCGACUUUCUGGACUGUAACUGACGCUGAGGCGCGAAAGCGUGGGGAGCAAACAGGAUUAGAUACCCCAGUAGUCC
rnacentral:rRNA from 1 species